rnacentral:tRNA from 1 species
GGUGUGUUAGCUUAAUUGGUUGAGCAUUGUGCUACGGUCACAAAGAAUACAGGUUCGAAUCUUGUACACACUU